ensembl:lncRNA
GAGAUGAACACGGUGGUCACCCAAUGCAUCUUAGUGGCGGGAGAGGGGUCACUCUGCAUGUUAAUGGGGAGCGCAGGCAGCCGGGCCAGAGGAAACUGCCCCACGUGCCCACCAAUUUGUUUCUCAGCCUCUUGUCUCCUUUCCCUCCACCCUCAGGAAUGGGUCUCUGGUCAAGAAUGUGGAAGCAUCUGGCAAACACAUGGUGUGUUACACAGACGCGGAGAUACGGGACCAACGGGUGUACACACUCAGCCUUGUCCAGAAAGAGCCUGUAAUGCUCCCUGGCCUUAUUCCCAAAGCCCUGAGGAUCACAGAGGGGACUGAAGUGAAAAUGGCCCACCAGUUAGAAGUUGCCCACUCCCAUAGGCCAUGGGAUGUGGACCGCCUGGCCUUCCGCAAUGCCACCAUCCAGCUGCAGCAGCUGAGGCCAGUGGAGGCCCCCAUGGCCAGCCCAGCAGCUGAGUGGUGGGUGGUCCAGGAAUGGCGGCCAGGCUGUGACCAGAGCUGGGGCUGCAUCAGGACCAGGAGCUCGUCAUCUUUAAUGACAAAAUCAGCCCCAGAGCCUGGGCUUCCUGGCAGGAUACGGGUAAGGCUCCCCCGGCCCCAAGAACUUGCCCUGUGGCCCAGAGGCUUCAGAACUUUCCGCCCCUUCUUGCCCCUGCUCACCAGAACUGCUUGGGAUGGGGUGGGGGCGGAGGGGGGGCUCACAAGUCCCUGUUCCCUUAGCCCCAGAAAUACACCAGGAUGGUGA